CAGCUCUGGCACAAGGACGUGAGGUACGGUAGUGGUAUCAAGGAUGAGGCGGGUAACCCAGCGUUUGCACUGGUCAACAAGGCCACAGGAGAGGCUCUGAAGCAUUCCUUCGGACACUGUCUCCCGGUUCGAGCAAUCAAGUUCGACCCGGGGUAUCUCGAUGAGUCUGUGCUGUGGGACCGAGAAGGUCCUCCCCGACGGCUUCAGGAUCAUCCACAUGGUGAAUAACAUGGACUACCUCUUUGACGCGGAGGAGGCCAUUCCUCCGUACGGCGGCGUGCGCGACGGCACGCGGCUCAUCCUCUUCCGGUGGAAUGGCGGCAAGAACCAGAUGUGGCAGAUCGCUCCGAACACGCCAGAUCAGGCUCAGCGUCAGCUACCUCGGCUUCGUCCUUGAUGCGGCGGAGGGCGGUCCUGAAUGUGGCGGGAUGCAUGACGGGACGCUUGUCAUCUUGUUCGAGUCGCAUGGCGGCCAAAAUCAGAAGUGGAAGAUGAUGCACUUUCAUUAAUGGGUUUGCUGCGGCGACUGAUCUAGUCCGUCUACUUUACAUUAUGUGGGGAACCGUUUGCCUUGUUGGCGCAUGUGUUUGCUAUGACUGCGGAAGAGAGUGAUCUGAACUUUCUCUACCUUGCUUGAUGACCACCUGCAUAUUGUAGUCCCCCCUUCAACUCACGGAAGUCAUGUUUUUCA